rnacentral:rRNA from 1 species
AGUGAACGCUGGCGGUAGGCCUAACACAUGCAAGUCGAACGGCAGCACAGUAAGAGCUUGCUCUUACGGGUGGCGAGUGGCGGACGGGUGAGGAAUACAUCGGAAUCUACUUUUUCGUGGGGGAUAACGUAGGGAAACUUACGCUAAUACCGCAUACGACCUACGGGUGAAAGCAGGGGAUCUUCGGACCUUGCGCGAUUGAAUGAGCCGAUGUCGGAUUAGCUAGUUGGCGGGGUAAAGGCCCACCAAGGCGACGAUCCGUAGCUGGUCUGAGAGGAUGGUCGGCCACACGGGAACUGGGACACGGUCCAGACUCCUACGGGAGGCAGCAGUGGGGAAUAUUAGACAAUGGGCGCAAGCCUGAUCCAGCCAUACCGCGUGGGUGAAGAAGGCCUUCGGGUUGUAAAGCCCUUUUGUUGGGAAAGAAAAGCAGCAGGUUAAUACCCAGCUGUUCUGACGGUACCCAAAGAAUAAGCACCGGCUAACUUCGUG